rnacentral:rRNA from 1 species
UUCCGGUUGAUCCCGCCGGACCUGACUGCUAUCGGAUUGAUACUAAGCCAUGCGAGUCUUUGUAGUAAUGCAAGGCAGACGGCUCAGUAACACGUAGUCAACCUACCCUAUGGAUGAGAAUAAUCUCGGGAAACUGAGGAUAAUACUCAAUAGAUCAUGAUGCCUGGAAUGGUUUAUGAUUAAAAUGAUUCGUCGCCAUAGGAUGGGACUGCGACCUAUCAGCUUGUUGGUGAGGUAAUGGCCCACCAAGGCGAUUACAGGUACGGGCUCUGAGAGGAGAAGCCCGGAGAUGGGUACUGAGACAAGGACCCAGGCCCUAUGGGGCGCAGCAGGCGAGAAAACUUUGCAAUGUGCGAAAGCACGACAAGGUUAAUCCGAGUGAUUUCUGCUAAAGAAAUCUUUUGUUAGUCAUAAAACCACUGACGAAUAAGGGGUGGGCAAGUUCUGGUGUCAGCCGCCGCGGUAAAACCAGCACCUCAAGUGGUCAGGAGAAUUAUUGGGCCUAAAGCAUCCGUAGCCUGUUCUCUAAGUUUUUGGUUAAAUCUAUGUGCUCAACGCAUAGGCCGCCGAAAAUACUGAAGAGCUAGGGAGUGGGAGAGGUAGACGGUACUCGAUAGGAAGGGGUAAAAUCUUUUGAUCUAUCGAUGACCACCUGUGGCGAAGGCGGUCUACCAGAACACGUUCGACGGUGAGGGAUGAAAGCUGGGGGAGCAAACCGGAUUAGAUACCCGGGUAGUCCCAGCUGUAAACGAUGCAGACUAGAUGAUGCAUUGGCAUAUAGCCAGUGCAGUAUCUCAGGGAAGCCGUUAAGUCUGCCGCCUGGGAAGUACGUACGCAAGUAUGAAACUUAAAGGAAUUGGCGGGGGAGCACCACAAGGGGUGAAGCCUGCGGUUCAAUUGGAUUCAACGCCGG